GACGAACGCUGGCGGCGUGCUUAACACAUGCGAGUCGAACGGAAAGGCCCUGCUUUUGUGGGGUGCUCGAGUGGCGAACGGGUGAGUAACACGUGAGUAACCUGCCCUUGACUUUGGGAUAACUUCAGGAAACUGGGGCUAAUACCGGAUAGGAGCUCCUGCUGCAUGGUGGGGGUUGGAAAGUUUCGGCGGUUGGGGAUGGACUCGCGGCUUAUCAGCUUGUUGGUGGGGUAGUGGCUUACCAAGGCUUUGACGGGUAGCCGGCCUGAGAGGGUGACCGGCCACAUUGGGACUGAGAUACGGCCCAGACUCCUACGGGAAGCAACAGUGGGGAAUAUUGCACAGUGGGCGGAAGCCUGAUGCAGCAACGCCGCGUGCGGGAUGACGGCCUUCGGGCUGUAAACCGCUUUCGCCUGUGACGAAGCGUGAGUGACGGUAAUGGGUAAAGAAGCACCGGCUAACUACGUG
rnacentral:rRNA from 1 species